rnacentral:rRNA from 1 species
GCUACCAGCAGUCGACGGUACAGGAAGCAGCUUGCUGCUUUGCUGACGAGUGGCGGACGGGUGAGUAAUGUCUGGGAAACUGCCUGAUGGAGGGGGAUAACUACUGGAAACGGUAGCUAAUACCGCAUAACGUCGCAAGACCAAAGAGGGGGACCUUCGGGCCUCUUGCCAUCGGAUGUGCCCAGAUGGGAUUAGCUAGUAGGUGGGGUAACGGCUCACCUAGGCGACGAUCCCUAGCUGGUCUGAGAGGAUGACCAGCCACACUGGAACUGAGACACGGUCCAGACUCCUACGGGAGGCAGCAGUGGGGAAUAUUGCACAAUGGGCGCAAGCCUGAUGCAGCCAUGCCGCGUGUAUGAAGAAGGCCUUCGGGUUGUAAAGUACUUUCAGCGGGGAGGAAGGCGAUAAGGUUAAUAACCUUGUCGAUUGACGUUACCCGCAGAAGAAGCACCGGCUAACUCCGUGCCAGCAGCCGCGGUAAUACAGAGGGUGCAAGCGUUAAUCAGAAUUACUGGGCGUAAAGCGCACGCAGGCGGUCUGUCAAGUCAGAUGUGAAAUCCCCGGGCUCAACCUGGGAACUGCAUUCGAAACUGGCAGGCUAGAGUCUUGUAGAGGGGGGUAGAAUUCCAGGUGUAGCGGUGAAAUGCGUAGAGAUCUGGAGGAAUACCGGUGGCGAACGCGGCCCCCUGGACAAAGACUGACGCUCAGGUGCGAAAGCGUGGGGAGCAAACAGGAUUAGAUACCCUGGUAGUCCACGCCGUAAACGAUGUCGACUUGGAGGUUGUGCCCUUGAGGCGUGGCUUCCGGAGCUAACGCG